AGAAACGUUGGGCCUAAAGCCCAAGCUUCCACAGACCUGAUCCGGAUCCUACACAAACUAAUCAAGAUAUGCUGAAAGUUCAUGGUCCAAAUAGCAACACCUUCAUAUUGCACCAACACUUGCUUCACCCAAAAUCCGGAUUCAUUAACCAUCCCCCAAGACCAACGUUGUGCUCGUCCUCGUUCCAACAACAACAACUUCACUUACGCAUUGAAAUUAUGUUCAAAACCAACAAACAAUGACAAGAUUCCAGAAAUUCGGUGACAAAGAAACUCAAAUCGAUGAAACGAAUUUGCAUUCAAAUCCUUACUGAAUCGAAAUCACAUAUUGAAAGUGAGUUCACAAUCCAAGCUUAUGCACGUGAAAAGAAGAAAGGAGUGAGAGACGAAGAACCUACCGAAUUCGACGCACCAGGAAUUUUCUGCCUCUAUGAAUGCUUCCUUCGAAUUCCUCCUCAAUCUUCUAUUUUCCUUGUGAAGUCGUCGAGACUUUUUUGUGGAGUUCCUCUGAGAAGAUUUCUUUCAGUGAGGUUCUGUUGAGGAUUAUUUGGAGGUUGCAGAACUUGUUAGGAGAAUCGAGAGAAUGGUUCGAAGUUGGUUAUCUGUUAUGGAAGUUAGAAACCGUUUUUCUGUUGAAGAUUGGAAUAUAAGGGAGUGUUAUUGCAGAGCAAAAAUCUUCAGUUGCAGCAUGAAAAGAACUCGAGUUUUAGAUUGCAGAAUGGAAAUCCCCCUUUGCAGAAUGAUGGUGAGUCCUAUUUAUAAGCCUUCCCCCUUCCCAAUUCUGUUAGAAAUGCAGGUUAAAUUACCUUGAUAUGUGGAAUUCGAUUAGAAUGAAAACGAGGAUGAAUUUCAGUUGGUUGUUAACUUAGUUUAGUGGAGUUAUCGCCUUCUGUUAGUUUGGAUUGGAUUAUAUUUAUUACUGAAAGAUUGUUAUCGGUUAGUAUUAGAUUAGUUUGAGUGAGUUUGAAAAUAGUUAGAGUUGGUUAGACUUAUGAGGCUAGUUAGUUGGAGAACAAAAUGGAAGCUAUUUUUAAUCUGUAAAAUCAAUCUGAAGUUAGUUUAGUUA